rnacentral:lncRNA from 1 species
GCUCUCCGCAUAAAGUGUAGGUCCGUUCGAUUCACCUGCACCAAUCGGAACCGGUUCACGGCGGUGCACGAGAAGUUCAGAAAUUGUUCAGCAGGAGUUCAGUGGUGCGGGCACGGUGCUUCACUAGAAACGAAUGACGAGGUGCCGACAUGGUGCAGACCUUAUUUUUGUUCGCUUAAUUUACGUCGUCCACGUAACGUUGA